AUUGAACGCUGGCGGCAUGCCUUACACAUGCAAGUCGAACGGUAACAGGUCUUCGGAUGCUGACGAGUGGCGAACGGGUGAGUAAUACAUCGGAACGUGCCUAGUAGUGGGGGAUAACUACUCGAAAGAGUGGCUAAUACCGCAUGAGAUCUACGGAUGAAAGAAGGGGAUCGCAAGACCUUGUGCUACUAGAGCGGCCGAUGGCAGAUUAGGUAGUUGGUGGGAUAAAAGCUUACCAAGACGACGAUCUGUAGCUGGUCUGAGAGGACGAUCAGCCACACUGGGACUGAGACACGGCACAGACUCCUACGGGAGGCAGCAGUGGGGAAUUUUGGACAAUGGGCGCAAGCCUGAUCCAGCAAUGCCGCGUGCAGCACGAAGGCCUUCGGGUUGUAAACUGCUUUUGUACGGAACGAAAAGCCCUGGGUUAAUACCCUGGGGUCAUGACGGUACCGUAAGAAUAAGCACCGGCUAACUACGUGCCAGCCGCCGCGGUAA
rnacentral:rRNA from 1 species